rnacentral:rRNA from 1 species
AUUGAACGCUGGCGGAAUGCUUUACACAUGCAAGUCGAACGGCAGCACGGGAGCUUGCUCCUGGUGGCGAGUGGCGAACGGGUGAGUAAUAUAUCGGAACGUAUCCAAUAAUGGGAGAUAACUAAUCGACAGGUUGGCUAAUACCGCAUACGCCCUACGGGGGAAAGGAGGGGAGCUUCGGCCCCUGGGUUGAUGGAACGGCCGAGAUCGGAUUAGCUAGUUGGUGGGGUAAAGGCCUACCAAGGCGACGAUCCGUAGCUGGUCUGAGAGGACGACCAGACACACUGGAACUGAGACACGGUCCAGACUCCUACGGGAGGCAGCAGUGGGGAAUUUUGGACAAUGGGGGCAACCCUGAUCCAGCCAUUCCGCGUGAGUGAAGAAGGCCUUCGGGUUGUAAAGCUCUUUCGCAAGGGAAGAAACGAUACUGGUGAAUAUCCAGUGUUAAUGACGGUACCUUGAUAAGAAGCACCGGCUAACUACGUGCCAGCAGCCGCAGUAA